rnacentral:rRNA from 1 species
UACGGAGGGUGCGAGCGUUGUCCGGAAUUACUGGGCGUAAAGGGCGCGUAGGCGGCGCGGAAAGUCGUCGGUGAAAGCUCGGGGCUCAACCCUGAGUCUGCCGGUGAUACUCCCGCGCUCGAGCUCACUAGAGGCAGAUGGAAUUCCGGGUGUAGCGGUGGAAUGCGUAGAGAUCCGGAAGAACACCGGUGGCGAAGGCGGUCUGCUGGGGUGAGGCUGACGCUGAUGCGCGACAGCGUGGGGAGCAAACAGG